rnacentral:rRNA from 1 species
CGCAGCCGCGGUAAUUCCAGCUCCAAUAGCGUAUAUUAAAGUUGUUAGCAGUUAAAAAGCUCGUAGUUGAAUUUCGGGACUAAUAUGUCGGUCGUACUUUGUACGUACUAGCAUUAUUGGUUUCUCCCUUCUGACGAACCACGAUGUCAUUAAUUUGGUGUCAUGGGAAAUCAGGACUGUUACUUUGAAAAAA